CCCGCACAAGCGGUGGAUUAUGUGGAUUAAUUCGAUGCAACGCGAAAAACCUUACCUGGCCUUGACAUGUACCGAAUUUCCAGAGAUGGUUUAGUGCUCGAAAGAGAACGGUAACACAGGUGCUGCAUGGCUGUCGUCAGCUCGUGUCGUGAGAUGUUGGGUUAAGUCCCGCAACGAGCGCAACCCUUGCCAUUAAUUGCCAUCAUUUAGUUGGGCACUUUAAUGGGACUGCCGGUGACAAACCGGAGGAAGGUGGGGAUGACGUCAAGUCCUCAUGGCCCUUAUGGCCAGGGCUUCACACGUAAUACAAUGGUCGGUACAGAGGGUCGCCAACCCGCGAGGGGGAGCCAAUCCCAGAAAGCCGAUCGUAGUCCGGAUUGUAGUCUGCAACUCGACUACAUGAAGUCGGAAUCGCUAGUAAUCGCGGAUCAGCAUGUCGCGGUGAAUACGUUCCCGGGCCUU
rnacentral:rRNA from 1 species